rnacentral:lncRNA from 1 species
GUGAAUACUUGUCCCUUUUGGAUAUAAUCGAUCCAUCAUAGCUUAAUUCACCACAUGGAGCUAUUAAUUCAGCAUGACGUUGAUAGCAUAAUUCCUACUCUUGGCUUUAGAAUUUGCUGAUGUAGCCAACCAAAUCGAUAAGAUAGCCCAUGAAACAGCAUGACCUCAAAUAAACACUAUGUUAUUCAUCACAUAUUCAAAAGAAGAAAGAAAACAACUUCAACAACCAAUGUUCAGAAUAAGUGGAAAAAUUUAACUAAAGAAAUAACUUCAAAGAAGACCAUUUUUAAAGGAAGGCUACUAGUAUCAAUGUACCAACCAAGUUACUCAUACUAGAUUAGUUCAACGCCUUGACUCUAUAUAGCAAAAGAUUAAUUAGAUCUAUAGCAAUGUAAUUAGUAACUACAUGAAAUGACACUCAUUUAUAAUACAUAAUUACAACUUUUGAUAUUAUAAUAUUCCAAACAGACAGUACAUUAAGAAAGAUGGGAUAUGUACCUUAAAACAACAAAGAGGAAACAACAACCAGAAGCCAAACAACACAACAAGAAAUCGUCCUAGAAACCAAAGAAUUCAAGGUUGAUUUGAAUGCCUAGAAAUCAAAGUAGACAACACCAAAAUGAACCAGGAGGGAAAUUAAAAAGAAGACUGAUGUUGAGAGCUAGGAAAUGCAAGGAGCUUUUCCUUUCUCUCCUUUUGUGUAUUUAGAAAAUUUUAGGGUAAAUUGCUAAUGACAUUGUAUCCGCGAGUGAAG